AGAAAUGUUCCUGGAACCUGGACUCCUCUAUCCACAGAGCAGGUACAGCAUGGGCUGUGGCAGGACUGGCUUCCCCAUAUCACACAUUGUUGUGGCUCUGCCCCCCUCGGAAGGACCUCAGUGGGCAGAGAAGGGAGAUUGGUCUCUGUGGCACAUUCAGUCCUCGACCCA
ensembl:misc_RNA